rnacentral:rRNA from 1 species
CGCAUCUGUGCAUGCAGCAUAUCAAUAAGCGAGGAAAAGAAACUAACAAGGAUUCCCUUAGUAACGGCGAGUGAAGCGGGAAGAGCUCAAAUUUGAAAUCUUCAAGGUUUUACCUUGACGAAUUGUAGUUUAAAGAAGUGUUUUCUGUUGAAGUUUUGGUAAAAGUUCUUUGGAAUAGGACAUCAUAGAGGGUGAGAAUCCCGUAUUUGACCAUUAUUUUCAGCUGUGUGAUACACUUUCAAAGAGUCGGAUUGUUUGGGAAUGCAGUCCAAAAUGGGUGGUAAAUUUCAUCUAAAGCUAAAUAUUGGCGAGAGACCGAUAGCGAACAAGUACCGUGAGGGAAAGAUGAAAAGAACUUUGAAAAGAGAGUCAAACAGUACGUGAAAUUGUCAAAAGGGAAGCGUUUGACACCAGUGUUGUUUUCUCGAAAAUCAAUUAAAAAGAGUUUGAUUUUGUUGUGUAUUGACCUUAACUAGCUUGCAUUUCAAUUUUCUUGCUUUUUUUAAUGCACUUUUCGUUUAACAAGUCAACAUCAGUUUCUUUUGUUGUAAAAAGGUCAUUGGAAGGUGGCUUUCUUUUCGGAGAAAGUGUUUAUAGCCUUUGACUCCUGCAAUCGGAGAGACUGAGGUCUGCAGCGUAGAUCCUUCGGGGUUAGAUACAUUUGUGCUAAGUUAUAGCUUUUUAUAGACAACUUGUUGACUAUGAUUAGUCUUGUAGCUUACUCGCUUAUGCUAUUUUACCUACGCUUAGGAUGUUGAACUCUAUCACACACAG